CAGCCGCCGCGGUAAUACGAAGGGGGCUAGCGUUGCUCGGAAUCACUGGGCGUAAAGGGUGCGUAGGCGGGUCUUUAAGUCAGGGGUGACAUCCUGGAGCUCAACUCCAGAACUGCCUUUGAUACUGAAGAUCUUGAGUUCGGGAGAGGUGAGUGGAACUGCGAGUGUAGAGGUGAAAUUCGUAGAUAUUCGCAAGAACACCAGUGGCGAAGGCGGCUCACUGGCCCGAUACUGACGCUGAGGCACGAAAGCGUGGGGAGCAAACAGGAUUAGAUACCCGCGUAGUCCCUGUCUCUUAUAC
rnacentral:rRNA from 1 species